rnacentral:rRNA from 2 species
CAUCCUCCAAGGCUAAAUACUCCUGACUGACCGAUAGUGAACCAGUACCGUGAGGGAAAGGCGAAAAGAACCCCGGCGAGGGGAGUGAAAAAGAACCUGAAACCGUGUACGUACAAGCAGUGGGAGCCUCUUUAUGGGGUGACUGCGUACCUUUUGUAUAAUGGGUCAGCGACUUAUAUUCUGUAGCAAGGUUAACCGUAUAGGGGAGCCGAAGGGAAACCGAGUCUUAACUGGGCGUUAAGUUGCAGGGUAUAGACCCGAAACC